rnacentral:rRNA from 1 species
UAUGUGAUCGUCUCUCGCAUAUCAAUAAGCGGAGGAAAAGAAACUAACAAGGAUUCCCCUAGUAACGGCGAGUGAAGCGGGAAGAGCUCAAAUUUGAAAUCUUAAAGGGUUUCCCUUUACGAAUUGUAGUUUAAAGAAGUGUUUUCUGUUGAGGUUUUGGUAAAAGUUCUUUGGAAUAGGACAUCAUAGAGGGUGAGAAUCCCGUAUUUGACCUUUACUUUCAACUUUGUGAUACACUUUCAAAGAGUCGGAUUGUUUGGGAAUGCAGUCCAAAAUGGGUGGUAAAUUUCAUCUAAAGCUAAAUAUUGGCGAGAGACCGAUAGCGAACAAGUACCGUGAGGGAAAGAUGAAAAGAACUUUGAAAAGAGAGUUAAACAGUACGUGAAAUUGUCAAAAGGGAAGCGUUUGACACCAGUGUUGUUUUUCUGAAAAUCAAUUAAAGAACUGUUUAUGCUAAGUUGUUUAGACUUUAUCAGCUGACUGUUUAGUUUUGAGCUUUUCUUUAAUGCACUUUCCAGUUAACAAGUCAACAUCAAUUUCUUUUGCUGUAAAAAAGCUUGAGGAAGGUGGCUUGAGAUUCGUCUUAAGUGUUUAUAGCCUCUUGCCUAUGCAGUCGGAGAGAUUGAGGUCUGCAGCGUAGAUCCUUCGGGGCUAAAUGCAUUUGUGCUAAGUUAUAGCAUUUUAUAGACAACUUGUUGACUAUGAUUUGUCUUGUAGCUUACUCGCUUAUGUUAUUUUACCUACGCUUAGGAUGUUGAAGACUCUACAGAGAU